rnacentral:misc_RNA from 1 species
UAACAUUGUUAAAUGAACUAAUCUAAAAUUGUCUUGAUAGGUCUAAUGGACAAGUUCUUUACUCAUUCAACUAACUGAGGGCCUCAAUUCAAGUGCAAAAUUAUGUAUCAUUCACUUCCAUUUAUAGUAGAAUUAGUGCUCAGAGACUAAAUUACAUUAAUUUUGAAGGUCACCAGCCCUCUGCAGCUGAAGCUCUGUUCCUGCAUCCACUACAAAAGUCAGGGAAGCACAGGGAGAUCUACCCUCUUAAAGGAAAAAAUGCUGACACGUCCUUGAUCUACAUGACAAAAUUUCAAUGGUGCCUGGCCACAUUGUCUCUCAAGGGCUUCAAAUUUUGCCUUGGAUGGUGGACUCCCCCUACAACAUAUGGCAAGGUGUAAAACAUGGAAAAGAAUUGGAAUUAAAACGGAAAUAAGCUAACUAGACUUCAUUUGCAAUGGUUGUGCACUUCUGAGGGGUAAUCACCGCCAAACCCACCCAUCCAUUCCCACACCCAAUGCUAGAUUUUAGCUUUUCAGAAGGAUGAUAGGCUUAGUAUAUUUUCCAGAUCAAAGGCUCAAAAAUGCACAGCACUGCAAUUGAGAAAACAAACUAAUACAUGCUCGCAUAGUUGUUUGAACUACAUAAUGCACAGCCCAGCAAUUAAGGAUACCCAUAAAGGCAAACCCAGCCUAAAUGGCUUCGAUAUAGGAUAUGUUUGGAUUGAUAUUUAACUGCAAAGAUAAUUGUUUAAAGGUUGAAAUGUUAAAACUUGGUUGCAGGAGAUCUGAAAAGCAAGCAAAAAAGUUGUAAAAUUUUUCUCUUUUUUUUUCCUAUUUUUAAAUUCUAUGGCUUCCAUUAAUAGGAAAUUUGAGGAAAAUGUUACGACAGUGGGAUUUUGGACUCUAAAAAGCGCCAGAAAAAAAGGAGCAUAUUUGAUUGAUGUGAAGACAUAGUUGAAGUAGAGUAGAAAUAUAUUGCAAAGAAUUAAAGAACAUUAAAAAGUUCGUAAAAAAGGAAAAAAGAGAGUACCAUGAAAAAUACCUUCCAUAAACAAAUCACUCAUGAUGGACUUGUAUUACUAAUCAAAAGGCCAAAGAAACAACUAAAUCGAACAACUAUUUACAAGAUGUACAAUUGAAUAUUCCUGGAAAUGAUGUAGUACCCAGAGAAGACAAACCAAAUGUAAUGCCAGAGAAAGAAACACAACAUUUAAUCACUACUUAAAAAAGGCUGGCAUUCAACUUAUUAGGAUUAAUCCAUAAAAUUACCUAAUCAAGCAGAGCAGAAAAGCUGGAUCACCAGGUGAAGUCUUUCUAAACUUGCUGUUGGGAAGAUAAAUGUCAAAAUUAGGUCUCAGUUCAUCAACCUGCAAAUUACUUAGACUUUCUACAACUACAGCUGAGUCUUUCAACUCAGUGUCUAUUAUCACCCCAUUAUUUUCUGAGGUGCCUUGAAAAGAAUCAAAGUUACAGUUGCUCUUAAUACCCUUCAUAGACCAAGGAACACCGUGACGCUGAACAAUGUAACCAAGAGACUUGAGGUGCCUAUAGACCUCAAAAAGCUCCCAGCAGCACCCAUUCUUUUCAUCUACAGUUUUCCCAUAUAUAUCUUUUAGAGAAAAAUGUAUAUCUUUAUCAUCCAAGAGAAGCAAUGCCCCCAAUUCAGCCAAAA